GAAGAUGGAUAAAAAAAAUCAUCACAAAUAUCAGAAAUGGAUGAUGAUGGAAUAAGAUAAAAUCAAAUUAUUUUGAAAUGGCUUCAUAGGUGGCAAUACUGAAGCCAAAGCAGAGUCUGUGCCCUUGCUCUGCUAAUCGGAGCAGUGACGCAGGCAGGAAAUUGUCAGGCCCAGUCUAAAUGAGCGGCCCAGUCAAUCCUGAGGCAGUUGGGUGCUCCUUCACCUGCUGGUGAAGGUGAAGAUGUCCUGCUGAUGAGAAGAAUCAAUUUGCUGAUCUCUAGAGUGUAUAGAUAGAUAGAUAGAUUGUAGGUCUUUCAGAUGAACAUUUCUGUUCAUUGGUUUAGCACAUUUGUAAAACACUAGAUACUAUAUAUCUUUAGUUUAUACACUUGAGACAUACAAGAUUUCUUAUUUCAAAGCUAUUUGCUGCACCGAGCUCAUUCCGCUCAGUCUCCUAGGCUCUCAUAUUCAGCAGGGAGCCGGCAUUGUAGAACAUAAUAUAAUUUUAUGGCUUGGGUUAAUAUAGUAGACAGGACAGGGAGACAGAGACGGACAGUUGUCUCCUACUGACUAGGCCACGCUGCUGUUUAGCCGUCAAAAUACUGUAAUUUAGAAAAAUUAUUUUGGAAAACCUUCACCAAAAUCAGCUUUCUUAAUCGUGGUUACAAGUUUUAGUUGUAGUGGUAUGACAUCUCUGGUGCAGCCACUGUAUAUUCGUGUAUACAACUAGCAACAGAUAUUGAAUCAUGUUGAGUCAUAUGUAAGGUCCUAGGAGAAAAAUGUGACUCACAAACCUCUGGGGAAGACUGAUAUAUACUAUGGUUCACACAGUUCAGUUUUUAAUGGGGUUUUUGAAGGUUCUUUUAUUAAACCACAACAAGGUAUAUAAAAUGGGUAUUCCCAUACCAGACAAUGGUGUCAUAUUGCUAGGAUAUGCCACCAAUCUCAGGCGUGGUUCCCACCUCUAGUACCCACUUCUAUGUCCAGAACGGGGCUCCCCACACAUACACAGCCGUCUCUUCAUUCACACCUAUGGGACUGCCGGAAAUAGGAUGGGAGCAGGACUAUACAGGAGGAAUAAUAGGGAGGAGUUGUAAGGAAAGAUGCUCUCACUGAGGUGGUAACACAUGCUCAGUUUAAAUCUUCAGCUGCCACCUGCCAUAUGUUCUGUUAGACGCUAUGGCGGUUACAGUGAAAAAGCUACAUCAGAAAAGACAUGACCUGUGAGAAAGGA